rnacentral:lncRNA from 1 species
AACAAACAGACCGGAGGACACGAGGAGGGCAGAGGAAAAAUGAGGCAGAUGCUCAGAGGCAUUCCUCUCUGUAGCCUGGUUACUGCUCACUGAAGGCCCAAUGCUCACCUGGCCCAUCACUUCUGAGUGCACACGCACACCUGUGUUCCAUGGUGGAGCUGGCGAAUCCAUCCCAAGGGGGUUAAGCUUUUAUGCCAGUUGUGCUUGUUAUUGUGAUGACAUAAAUGCAUUAAAUAUUACAUGAACCAAUGAAAUGGGAGUGCAAGACCAAGGAGGUGAAUGCUUUGGAAGUCUCAGUAUAGGGAAUAUUCUAAAGAAAAGGUACCGUCAUAUUAGAAUGGAGCAAAAUAACUACAAAAGACCAUGAAAAUGGUCAAUAUCUGGGUAUAUUCAGCAUUCACACUGCUUUGCACAUGCACGGAAGUUCUCACUCACAUGGAAGAGAAGUAGAAAUUGUAAGUGAGAUGUUAUGAGUUUCAUUCAUGUAAGAAUGAUUACCAGCUGGGCGCAGUGGCUCACGCCUGUAAUCCCAGUACUUUGGGAGGCC